GUUUUGGAAACUAUUGGCCGCCACCUCCCCGCCGCGUGUGCUUCUUGGAUUUUCCGCUGACCAUCAGAGCGCAGACGUUGGGCACUCAGUUCGAUGUGUUGAGAUGUGACAAAGUGUGAUGUGUGGUCUGGGGGUCUGUACCUAGGCAGGUGCAGUGGAGGUGUCGGAGCUGGGUCAGAAGACCUCCCCGAACCACACAUUUACUUGGGACCCUCUGUGUGCCUCGUGGGUCCUUGGGAGUGUAUGUGUGUACGUAGGUGGCCGCCACAGGGCAGGACUGCAAGUCUUUUCUGCCUGUGUUAUUCCUUGUGCUGUUGGGUGUGAGGUGAUUCACACUUGGAGCUGCAAUAGGACUUUGUAACUGCGAAGCCUGGUGUUGUGGCGCUUGCCUGUGAUCUCGGCACUCUGGGAGGCAGAGACAGCAGGACUCAAGGUCGAGCCCAGCCUGAGCUGUCUCAAAAAGAACAGAAAAGAAAAGGCAGUAAUGUAGCUGAAGGCCCUGGGGGAAAGGAGUGGGGGGAAAGAAGAAAUAACUAUUGGAUUGUCUAACAGAUGCCUCUGCUGUAGUGGUUUGUUUAUGAAAGGUUGUGUGAAUUCAACUAGCAAACGAGGCCGUGUAUGCCAAUGAAAAAAUUAUGGACACAUUAUUUCUUCCUUGAAUACUAAUUUGAUGAUUUCGGAAAAGCGAUCAAUUUAUGUAAAAAAUUUAUGGCAUUAUACUCAUUUUGACCUUGCAGAUUGGUAAGGAUUAGUGCUCCCUUCAGCCCAGCAACUGGAUUCUGGAUUUAUCUCUGUGACAGUAGCUGCCCAUAAGCAGCCUUGAUUCGCUGUUACCAGGAAGCUGUUAGGUCAAAAGUCCAACACUUUGAAGCCUAAGAAUAAUGUGGAAAACUAAAUCAUGUUUCUGCUCAAAGCCUGGCUGAAGUUAGUGAUCUGGAAAAAGAAUCGGAGGCAUGUAAAUGGAAUUCAUGCGUUGGUGGACCUAGACGGGGAUUUUUUUUAACUUUAUAGAACUCUUGUUAUGACUACUGAUUUACAAUCAUUUACAGUAAGGGGUGAUAAACAUAAAAUAAACAUUGCCCAUUAAAACACUGAUUUGGUAAAGGAAACACAUAGUAAGGUAUUAUGCAAGAGAUCCAUGUAGCUCCUAGCUACCCAGACAGCACAAAGGCAAGUCUGUGUUGACUUAGAUACCGGGGAAUUUUGAAGUGUUUUCUCUUACAAUCUAGCUGUUCAAGAUACUAUACAAUCAUUCCAGUCUAAUAAGGCUGAUUUUAAUGUAUGACAAGAAGGAUGGAGUAGAAGAAAAAAGUCACCAUCAUACUGAAUAUAAAAAAUGCAGGGUACAAUGUUUAUUAUGACUAUUAUUAGAAGUGUUCAGACUCCUCACAGUCCAUAAAAAGAGAUAUGCUAUAGAGUAGACUUCAUCAUCCCUGUCUAGAACUACUUAUAGAAAAUAAGCAAUACCCAUGGAGAAACAUUAAGAAGACCUCUAUCAAUUCAGAAGUUCAUAGUAUUAGAAGAGUCCCCAAAUUUCUAUACAUGUAGUCAAUCAAAACUCCAAAAGACAUUUGGGUGGAAUCAAGCUAAUUCAAAAAUGUAUAUGGAGGGGCCAGGGAUAUAGCUCAGUGGUGCUGCUGUCUGCCUCACAAGUGCAAAUUCCCAACUUCGAUCCCUGGUACCAAAAACAAAAACAAAAAUGCAUUUGGAAAUGCAAAGGAAUACAAACCCUCAAGAUAUUCUUGGGGAAUAAUAAGAUGAGAAGACUUGUUCCAAAUACUGCAUAAAUGUACAGUGAAAAAGAAAGUAUGAUAUUACUGCAAGGGGAGACAAUAGACUAAUGGUACAGAAUGUAGAAUAAAAAAAUAUGCUUAUUAUAGUACGACAUUUUUUCAACGGAUGGUGUUACCCUCUGAUGGGGACCCUAGAGGAUGUCAUGUAUCACAGAAAACUCACUACACUUGCAGCAAUCUCAAUGACCAAGGUUACCCAAGCAGCAGUUCGCUGUACUAAUAAAUAUCUGAAAGUUAAUGGCCAUUUGAAUACCUCUUAUAAUUGUGGAGGCCAAAAGUA